UGACACGUGGCUCAGUUGGCAGAGCAUUGGACUAGUAUCCCAAAGGUCGCGGGUUCGAUUCCCACCGUGGCCA